AUUUGGUAGUGUGUGUAUGUGUGGGGCUGUUUGGGGUAUUGCAUGUGAGAGGCUGCAUGUGGGGUUGUGUGCAUGUAUGUGGAUUGUUAGUGGUGUUGCGUUUGUGGGGAUUGUGGGUUCUGUGUGUGUGUGGGCUGUUCAUAUUAUUUGUAUGAGGGGAGGGUUAUUCUGCAGCUCUGUGUAUAUCUAGCAGUGUGGGUGGGUUCCCUGGGUUCAAGUGGGGACCAGGCUGGCCAGGUACAGGUCAAGGACAGGAGCUGUGAUAUCUGUCGAGGGCUGCUCUACUACAGUGUGGAUUCCCAUUCACAAGUGCU